rnacentral:tRNA from 1 species
CUUAAUAUGGCAGAUUAGUGCAGUAGAGUUAAGUACUAUUUAUAAAGAUAAUUCUUUUAUUAAGA